UUUGCGUUAGGGAUAGUAGCGGAAAUCCUUUUGUGAGGCACGAACAAAAGAUUGCAGUGAAUAGCCCGGCCCGAA
rnacentral:sRNA from 1 species